GAAGUCUGUUCCUCCUGGCUGGUGUCAGAAGUAACCAGGCUGAAGCCAUGCUCUGAAAGAACCUGUGCAGGGAGAGAAAGACCUGUUUGAGACCGACCUGAAAGCUCUCGCAGGGGAAAGAACAGGGGGUUCCAAUGAUUCCUGUAGUUCACUGAGCUCUUGUAAAGAAGCAACCGUUUUUCCUGACCUUGACACUCAAGCAUUUUUGAUGGUUCUAGAAGUACCCAUUUUCAGCUGCCUCACUCUAGUAUUCUGGAUGUGAUUUGGGGUCCAGUGAGAUGCACUGACUAAUAUCUGCAGUGUACAAUGCAGGCAGCAGCAGCGCCAGCUAAAGCUGAGCUCUGGUAGAGUUGGAUUGGAUGUUUACAGUGACCUACCUCUUCAGUGUGAUAUUUCCUCACGGUCAUCAGCUACAGGCUGUGAGACAGCCUGGGGGAGACAGGAUAGCCAUGUUUCCCACUACCUCCCAACCACUGGCUGGUGCACCAGCCUCCUGGCCUUAGGUCGCAGCCACAGUGACGUGACCUCCUACAAUCCCUGGCAAGCUGGAGGAGCAGCCCUGCAACCAAGCCUGCUCUAAGAAAAGGCUUUCUGUUUACUAACCUGGAGCUGCUCUAUUCUUUCACCCUUGUUCCCCUUUCAGCUGUCUCGCGCAAGUACUAAUUUUGCCAUUAAAUACGCAUUUUGUUUUGCAAAAUGAGAAGAGCUUAUAAAUACUUCAAAUUUUCUCCGUCUGUUUCACUCCUUUCCAUUUCUUUCUAAAAUUACAGUAAAAUAUUAACUAUACAAAAUAUUGUUGUAUUUAUACAAAACAACAAUACCAUAAAAUAAAACACUACAUAGUUGAAGCCCUCUGAGGAUCUCUCCAUUUCUUCCAGCCAUAACGAAUACCCUGAACUUUACGUUUCUUUUCCCUUUGCGGUUGCUUAAUUUUUCUACAUCUGAAUAUAUCCUUACACGUUUUCAAAAUUUAUAGAAAUAUCCCACUGAAUACAUUUUUCUGUAACUUGCCUUUGCACUGCAUUGUGAGAUUCAGCUAUGUUGAUCUGUUUAACUCCAGCUGAUGUAUGUAAUGAUCCCUGAUGAUUAUUCUGCCGUUUGACUAUACCAAAAUUUAUUCAGGUCUCUGAUAAUGAGCAUUUAGAUUGGUUUGUUUUCCAUUUAUGAAUUUAGCAAUUAUGUGUUUCUAAUUUUUUGUUAUUAUAAACUAUGGUGCUACGAAUAUUCCUGUAUAUGCCACCUUCAAAAUUGUAAAAUUUCAACUGUUUUAAAAUACAGUCAUGUCAGGAUACAUUCUGAGAAAUGUAUCAUUGGGCAAUUUCAUUGCUAGGCACACAUCAAUGUAUGCAAAUCUAGAUGGCAUAGCCUACUACACACCUAGACCACAUGGCGUGGUGUGUUGCUCUGACCACCAUCAUAUAUGUAGUUCGUCAUUGACCAAAAUGGCAUUCUCCGGCACGUCUGUAUUAAAAUUUUUUAGUGGAAAACCAGUUUUUAAAAUCUGUUUUACAUGAAUGAUAGUUUUUAGUGUCAACAAUUUAAAUAUGGCAGUUAUUUUUUCUCAGCACAUUGGUGGUAUUAUUCCAACAUCUUUUAGCUUCCCUUGCUGCCGUUGAGAAGUCUGUUGAUUUCAUACUCCGCUGUAAGUAAUCCAUUUUUUCCUCGCAUAUGCUAAUUUUGAGAUCUUCUCUGCCUUUAUUGUUUUGCCAUUUCACUAAAAUAUGUUUAGAGAUAUAUAAAUUCUGCUUGGACUCUAUUGUGCUUCCAGAAUUGGAAGAUCAAUGUCUUUCAUUAAUUAUGGAACAUUCUUGGUCAUGGACUCAUUGAAUGAAUGUUUCCUUUUCUCCAUUAUUUCUAUUCUUUUCUUCUGAAACUUCAGUAGUCAUAUGUUAGUCCUUUUAACUCCAUCUGCCUUGUUUCGUAACUUCUCUCUCAUGUUUUCCCAUACUGCUUUUUAGCAUCCUGAGCAAUAUUCAGAUCCAUCUCCUGGUUUACUAUUUUUAUUUCCAUAAAUUUCACUGGAUUCUUUUUCAAUUCUGCCUGGCCAUUUUUUGAUGGUAUUUUGUUUUCAGUCUCAUUUUAAGUUUCUUCCUUUUAAAGAAUAUUUUAUACAUAAUUAUUUAUAUUUACUAUCUAAUAAUUUAAAUGUCUGAACUCUGGGUGUGUAAUCUUCUCUCCUGCUCUUUUUCAUGAUGGUUUGUUUUCCGUUUAUGAAUUUAGCAGUUGAAUGUUUUGUACUCACGUUUGGCCAAACUUAAUUCGUGGAAAUCUGUGGGAGACUGUAAAAAUAUCAGUGGUUGCCAGGGUAUAGAUGAACAAGUGAAGCACUGAGGAUUUUUAGGCAGGGAAGCCACUCUGUGUGAUUACUACAAUGGUGGCCACAUGUCAUCAUACACCCAUGAAAACCCAUAGCAUGUGCAAUGCAAACAGUGAAUCCUAACAUAAACUCUAGAUUCUAGUUAAUCAUAAUGCAUCACUAUUGGCUUAUUAAUUGUAAUGUGCCACACUAAUGCAAGAUAUUAAAAUAGAAAUUGGGAGGAGGUGGGGCAUAUGGGAAUCCAUUGUAUAAUACUUUACUUUAUGCUCAGUUUUUUUAUAAACCUGUAACUGUCAAAAGCCUAUUCAUUUUUUUAAAUGUAGAGAUAAAAAAAAAAACAAAAAAAAGUUAACCUUUGUGAUUUGGACUUAAACAGGGAACCCUAUCUCAGGGUCAUGAGAGAAAAGAACCAAGUGUCUCCUUCUGUGAACUGAAGGGCAUCAAGAAGAGUGGCGUUUUAGUGGCAUAGGGGAAGUCACUUUCUUUUGCCAUCUAAAGUUUCAGGGUACAUGUGCAGGUUUGUUACAUAUGUAUACAUGUGCCAUGUUGGUGUGCUGCACCCAUUAACUCUUCAUUUAACAUUAGGUUUAUCUCCUAAUGCUAUCCCUCCCCCCUCCCCCCACCCCACAACAGGCCCCAGUGUGUGAUGUUCCCCUUCCUGUGUCCAUGUGAUCUCAUUGCUCAAUUCCCACCUAUGAGUGAGAACAAGUGGUGUUUGGUUUUUUGUCCUUGCAAUAGUUUGCUGAGAGUGAUGGUGUCCAGCUUCAUCCAUGUCCCUACAAAGGACAUGAACUCAUCAUUUUUUAUGGCUGCAUCGUAUUCCAUGGUGUAUAUGUACCACAUUUUCUUUUUUUUAAUUUUAUUAUUAUUGUACUUCAAGUUUUAGGGUACAUGUGCACAAUGUUCAGGUUACAUAUGUAUACAUGUGCCAUGUUGGUGUGCUGCACCCAUUAACUCGUCAUUUAGCAUUAGGUAUAUCUCCUAAUGGUAUCCCUUCCCUCUCCCCCUACCCCACAACAGUCCCCAGUGUGUGAUGUUCCCCUUCCUGUGUCCAUGUGUUCUCAUUGUUCAAUUCCCACCUAUGAGUGAGAACAUGUGGUGUUUGGUUUUUUGUCCUGGUGACAGUUUGCUGAGAAUGAUGGUUUCCAGUUUCAUCCAUGUGCCUACAAAGGACAUGAACUCAUCAUUUUUUAUGGCUGCAUAGUAUUCCAUGGCGUAUAUGUGCCACAUUUUCUUAAUCCAGUCUAUCAUUGUUGGACAUUUAGGUUGGUUCCAAGACUUUGCUAUUGUGAAUAGUGC
rnacentral:lncRNA from 10 species